rnacentral:rRNA from 1 species
GAUGAACGCUGGCGGCGUGCCUAAUACAUGCAAGUCGAGCGAACGGACGAGAAGCUUGCUUCUCUGAUGUUAGCGGCGGACGGGUGAGUAACACGUGGAUAACCUACCUAUAAGACUGGGAUAACUUCGGGAAACCGGAUCUAAUACCGGAUAAUAUUUUGAACCGCAUGGUUCAAAAGUGAAAGACGGUCUUGCUGUCACUUAUAGAUGGAUCCGCGCUGCAUUAGCUAGUUGGUAAGGUAACGGCUUACCAAGGCAACGAUGCAUAGCCGACCUGAGAGGGGGGUAGGCGACACUGGAACGGAGACACGGUCCAGAGUCCUGAGGGAGGCAGCAGUAGGGAAUCUUACGCAAUGGGCGAAAGCAUGACGGAGCAACGCCGAGUGAGUGAUGAAGGUCUUCGGAGCGUAAAACUCUGUUAUUAGGGAAGAACAUAUGUGUAAGUAACUGUGCACAUCUUGACGGUACCUAAUCAGAAAGCCACGGCUAACUACGUG